rnacentral:rRNA from 1 species
GAUGAACGCUGGCGGCGUGCCUAACACAUGCAAGUCGAACGGAAAGGCCCUGCUUUUGUGGGGUGCUCGAGUGCCGAACGGGUGAGUAACACGUGUGUAUCCUGCCCUUGUCUUUGGGAUAACUUCAGGAAACUGGGGCUAAUAUCGGAUAGGAGCUCCUGCAGCAUGGUGGGGGUUGGAAAGUUUCGGCUGUUGGGGAUGGACUCGCGGCUUAUCAGCUUGUUGGUGGGGUAGUGGCUUACCAAGGCUUUGACGGGUAGGCGGCCUGGGAGGGUGACCGGCGACAAGGGGACUGAGAGACGGCCCAGACGCCAACGGGAGGCAGCAGGGGGGAGUAUUGCACAACGGGCGGAAGCCUGAUGCAGCAACGCCGCGUGCGUAAUGACGGCCUUCGGGUUGUGAACCGCUUUCGCCUGUGACGAAGCGGGAGUGACGGUAAUGGGUAAAGAAGCACCGGCUAACUACGUG